ensembl:lncRNA
GGAUGCCAUCCACUUGGACACCCAUGAGAACCUAAUGGGGUUCAGUACGGCCAGUGGGUCAGGGAAAUCUUAGAUAUAAGUAUGGACAGGGAAAUGAACUCUUUGUGAGCAGCCCUGCCCAGGACUUGGGGGUCCUAAUGGGCAAAAAACAGGAUGAGAGUCAGCAGUAUGCAUUUGCAGCCUGGAAGGCCAAUGGUAUCCUGGAUUGCAUCAACAGAGGGGUGGCCAGCCUGGAGAAGGAGGGGAUUAUCCCUCUCUGCUCUGCCCUUGUGAGGCCCCAUCUGGAGUACUGUGUCCAGGCCUGGGGCCCCCGGCUCAAGAAGGAUGUGCAGCUGUUGGAGUAGCUCCAGAAAAGGGGUGCAAAGAUAAUCAGGGUGCUGGAGUACCUCUCCUAUGAUGAAAGGGAGUUGGGAUUGUUUCACUUGGAGAAGAGAAGGCUCUGGGGAGACCUCAUUGUAAUCUUCCAAUACCUGAAAGAAGCUUGCAGGCAAGAGGGGGACUGAUUUUUUAUGCAUGUUGAUAGUGAUAGGACAAGGGGAAACAGACUCAAAAGAGAAGAGGUUUAGGCUAUAUGUUAGGAACAAAUUCUUCACUACGAGGGUGAUGGGGCACAGGCACAGGCUGCCCAGAGAAGCUGUGAAUGUCGCAUCCCUGGAGGCAUUCAGGACCAAGCUUGUUGGGUUCCUAGGCAGUCUGAUCUGCCCAAGGAAGCUCUGUGUCCGGACAUAUUUCAUUGUGCUUUUCUAUUGAUUGUAUGGAAUGCAAGCAGAAUUCCUGCAAGAUAGCAAACUACUUCAGAAAAAUCAUGAGCAAAGGCAGAUGAGCCUACGUCUCCUCCCAAGCCUCCUGCUGCCAACAGAUCCCAGGUAAAUUGAGGCAUAAGGAUUCCUCCAAUCUAAAUAGAAUUAAUGAGAAGAAAGUUGAAGAAAACACAGAAGAUCAACAUUCCA